UUUUGAGACAGAGUCUCGCUCUGUCACCCAGGAUGGAGUGCAGUGGCAUGAUCUCAGCUUACUGCAACAUCCGCCUCCUGGGUUCAAGUGAUUCUCCUGCCUCAGCUUCCUGAGUAGCUGGGAUUACAGGCACACACCACCAGGCCCGGCUAAGUUUUGCAUUUUUAGUAGAGACAGGGUCUCACCAUGUUGGCCAGGCUGGUCUUGAACUCCUGGCCUCAGAUGAUCAGAACACUAAUAUUUACUGAAGACAAUGGAUACUUACCAAGGAUUCACUAAGUGGUCUUCAAAGCAUUUUAUAUGUAUAAACUCUUUUAAUCUUCACAUUAAGAUUAUGUAGUGGGUACUCUUAUUAUCUUCAAAUUAAAGAUGAGGAAACAAGUUUAGAGAAGUUAAAAAUACUGGUUGAAGUCCUACUGUUAGCAACGGUAGAGUCGCAAUUUAGAUAGUGGCUGUCUGAUUCUAGAGCUCACACACUUAACGUCUGUGCCAUGUAUAUAAUUACUAUAGAUUGCUUAGGUAAUCAGCCACCUGUCUGGGAAGCUCAGCUCUCCGAAAAUUUCUCAGUGAUAUCACAUUAUAUGCAUAUAACCAGGUGGCUCUGGCUGAGAAUAGAUAUAGAGUUUGUAAACAGUUUUAAACAAGGGUAGGGAAGAGAUUAAUACAUCGUACCUACAUCCUAUUCUUUGUCCUUCCCUGGAUACAUGGGAAGCCUACACUUCCUAGCUCUCUUGCAGUUAGGCAAGGCCACGUGACUAGCUGUAGCCAAUAAAAUGUGAGCAGAAAUGACUUGCAUCACUUCCCACAUAAAACAUGUAAGGGUCAGUGUGGCCCCUCCAUGUUCUCUCUUUCUCUUUAAGGUGACCAUGAAGUCCACAAGUUGAAAUGUCAGAGCCACAGUUUAGAAAUAACCCAGACCUGGAGUCGCUGACUGCAUGAAGGACAGAUUCCCGGAAGAAUCACUCCAUCCCUGUUGGAUUUUGUGUGAACAAGAAACAAAUCUGUUAAAUUAAGCCACUAAACUGCUGGGGUUUACUUAUGACCAUAACCUAGCCUGCCCUAUGUAGGCUACAGCGGCUUAAAUGCCUGCAGGGGUCUGACCAGCAGUUGAAAUGAAAUGAAUGAAGUAGCUGGGCAUGAGUGUAAGAGAAAAUACCCAGGCUGGAAGGGUGACUAUGUUACAUGGGAGAUGCAUGUCCCAUUAGGGGAGAAGAGCUGCUACUCAGAGCUAGUUCAUGAUUUUACGAAAUGAUUUGGAGCCAGCAUUGCAAGAUCUUAACUGGAGAUUUUUUUUUUUUCAAGAAAAUCUGGAAAUACAGAUUUUGAUGUGAAAUUCCCAAUUUUUAAAUGUUGGUAGCUAAUAUAGAUUAACAAAACAAAACAAAAAGAAAAGAAAAACAGACAUCCUUGCUAUUUCCCAAACAUCAUAGGCAUUGUUUCUGCCUCUUGCUGUGCCUCCUGCCUGGAAUACUCUUCCCCUCUAUGCCCACAAGCCUUACUUCUUCUUCUGCUCAGGUGUUUUCCCAAAUGUCACCUUCUCAGGGAGGCCUUUCCUAAUUACUCUUUUAAAAAUUGCAACACCUCCUUCUUUCCACCUUGUACUCUCUCUCCUUCCCUGCUUUUCAAUUUUUCUCUAUACUACUUAUCAUCCUGUAGAAUAAUAGAAUUUUAAAAAUUAUUGGCUGACUGCCCAUAUCCUCCCAUUAUACUCAAAGUAUAUAAGGGUGAGGAUUUUUCCCUGUUUUGUUCACUGUUUUUGCCAAGUGCCUACAGAGGGACCUGGCACACAGUAAGUGCUCAACAAGUAUUUGUUAAGUAAAUGAAUUUUUAAAACAUCCCACCCUGGGGGUCAGAAAAAGCGCAUCUGGAAUGUUGAUUCGAUGUGUGGACCAUUACUUCACAACUCGGGUUUCAGUCCCUCACUGAGCAGCCCUUGGAAAUUAGUGCCAUUUAGAGUGGCAAGCAGUUUCCUGCCUCCCAUGAAGUUGAUGUUUGAUUGAUUUUGCUCUGGGAAAUGGAUCACAGUGGGCUUUAAGAAAACUCUUGUAAAUUCUAGGGGGCCUCAUGCCUGCCUGUGUGCUCACAGAAUACUGUGACAGCAGUCUACUAUUGAUUUUGUCUCUACUGUACAUCCUAGAUUUGUUCAUACCCAAAUUUUUGUCUCAGUCCUGCCCUGUGAACCAGUCCUGGUCUUUAGAACAUGAGCCAAAAUGCAUUCCCCUUUGCUCAUUAAGUUGGUUUGAAUUGAGUUUCUGUCACUGUGGAUGGAGUUCUGAUCAGUAGAAUGUGACUCCCGACUGGCUGUUUUCUGUUUCUGAGUCAUAGUUUCCUCACAUAGAAAAAGGAGGGUGUAAGAUUAAAUAAGCACGAAAGUCUUUUCCGGGAUUCUAACAUUUUGGGAUUCUAACACAUUUAAGCCCCCCAACCCCAUCCCCACCCCUUCAAUGGAGGCUAAACAUUUUUGACUUUAGAUAAACUUGGUUCCCUGGAGCCACGUGGUACUCUCUGGCCUUGGUAUCACCAACCCCUCUGACUUAUGAUGUCUACUGCUCCUACCUCCUUUGGGGGUUGACUGCUCUUGCUAUAUGUUCGGGCCCUGCUCUUAUUGCCAGAGCUGCUUGUAUUUUACUUGUAGCAACUUCAGAUAUAGCCUCCAAUAUAUUUUUCUUCUCUCUGACCUCAACUCCUUUUUGCCUUUCAUUUGUCUCCCCGCACCCCCGCCCUUGGUCCCUGCCUUGCUAAAGUCAUAUCAAUCUGCAGCAUCAAGACAUUUUUAGGUCUUUCAGUCUAGGACCCUCUCAUGUCUUCCUUUCUCAGACUUUUCCCAUUUUUCUCGGGCAUGAGUAAGAAUCUUACUUUAUCAGCUCAAGUCAGAAAGCAACAUUACCUUAUUUUCUUUAAAUCAGAAUAGAAUCUGACUUCAGUCUCCUGUUGGUAGGCCUGGAGGGAAAUGUAAUUUCAGUCACUGUUAGGGAUUCCUCCCCUUACCCCUGAGUCAAACAAAGGUCCUGGGGACUUCAUCUAAAACCAAUCAUUUGGAGGAGUCCCUCCAGCUCAGGGCAUGCUGAUUACUGUGGACGUGCUCAUUUUUCUAGCCCACAUGGUAGCUGCUGGGCCCUACUUGGCCAUGAAAAUAAUGACAACGAUUAACGUUUAUGGAAUGUUACUAACGUGCCAGGGACUUGGUAGUGCUUUACAUAAAUAGUUUUAUAUGAGGCAACUACUCUUUGAUCUAGAACAUUCUUUUCCCAGAUAACUUAUGGUUCUCCCUCAUCUUCCUCAAGGCUUUGCCUAGAUAUUACCUUCUCAAUGAGCAUAUCCUGACCACCAGUAUCUGUGCCCCUCCCUUUCUAAUUCUGCUUUUCCCAGCUCUACUUUGUUUCCAUAACCCUUAUCAUCGUCCAGCAUACCAUGCUGUGUGAUUUACCUACUAAUAGAGUCUUUCAUCUGCCCCCCUCCCCCCACCACUAGAAUGUAAGUUCUGUAAGGGUAGGACCUCCAGUUUUUUAAUUCUUUCUUUCAACUCCUAGAAUAGUACCCAGUAUAUAGUUCAAUAAUUUUUUUUUUUUUUUGAGACAGAGUCUCACCCUAUUACCCAGGCUGGAGUGCAAUGGCGCAGUCUCGGCUCACUGCAACCUCCGUCUCCUGGGUUCAAGUGAUUCUCCUGCCUCAGGCUCCCGAGUAGCUGGCAUUAGAGGCGCGCACCACUGCGCCUGGCUAAUUUUUUGUAUCUUUAGUAGAGACGGGGUUUCACUAUGUUGGCCAGGCUGGUCUCGAACUCCUGACUUCGUGAUCCGCCUGCCUCAGCCUCCCAAAGUGCUGGGAUUACAGGCAUAAGCCACUGCGCCCAGCCCUAAACAUUUGUAGAAUAAUAGUCCUAGUUUUACAGAUGAGGAAACAGGCAAUAAAGGGAAGUAACUACCCCAUGUCACACAGCCAGCAAGUGGCAGAGUUUGGGUUCAAACUCAGCCCAUCUGAUUUCUUUUUAGGACUGCAUUCUUUCUGUGAACUGGCUAUCCUCACACUUAGACCUGGCUGCCCAGGGCACAUCCUAUAGCCACUCCUCCCAGAGGCCCUGCCGUAUCCCUGGGGCACUGGGAGGACACAGAGCAUAGGUCCCAAUCCUCAGUGAACCCAUGAAUCUUCCCCCUCUUUCAGCUCAACCCCCAUUCUUUCCCCAAAUACUCCCCACUUCCAGAAUAUCUAAUAUUAUAUCCUCAAUUAGAUUAAACUCUUAUUUAUACCACGAAAAGAGUUUAUCUUUUAAGAAACCCCUCCUGAGACCAAGAAAUAGAAGGGCUACUUAGAAUGAGGAGGUGGGAUAUCUGGAAAACAAAGCAGAAGUAGCUCGGAGUGUCUCUCUGUGUGUGUGUGAGAGAGAGAGAGAGAGAGAGAGAGUGUGUGAGCAUGUGUGUGAGUAUGUGUGAGAGUGUGUGUGUCAGUGAGUGUGUGUGUGAGUGUGUGUGUGAGAGUGUGUGUGUGAUGAGCACUCCAGGCUCCCUUUCCCAAACCAGCUGAAAGAUCCCCUUUUUCUCUUCUUUAAAACAGUUCUGAAAUCUAGCCAUGCCACCAAUACCUGCAGAAACAUUCUGGAUGGAACAGGCUUGCCCAGACCCUCCUCUCCAGAAGCUGGGCCCUUUAUGUUCCAUCUCUGAGUGAGUGGCAGCAAGGACCAGUGCGAUCAAAAAGGAGAAAGUGGAAUGCGACAUCACCCCCAAGGAGAGGAAGACCAUGGGCCAAGAGCUUCAGGGUGACCCAGUCAUAGGCCCGGGAGAGACAGAUCUGCACUAGAUGCUGUGCAGAGCCCUGACACCCAGAGCAGAUGCUGCUGCUGCGAUGAGUCUGGGGAUCAGGUGUUCAGAACCGCUGCUCGAGUGGUCCACUGCCCAGUGGGAGGAAGUGCUCUGAGGUGUAGAUCUCCUGCGUGGAUCACAGCCAGCCAGGCUUGCAGCCUUCAGGAUGCCUCACUCUCCCUCCCACCUGCCGGGUCAGCCUAGGGGAGGGGCCAGGAUAACUCAAAGUUAACUCGUGAUAAAAUACCCCCUAUUCCUGAAUGGACCUGGGUCUGGGGCCCUGUCUAGGGAGCUCCUUUCAUUUUGAGUGUCCCCAUCCUGGGAUGACAAGGGCUUUCCUAUCUGAAAGAGGGCAGCUUCGCUUAUGCUGGUCUCCAACGUCAGGGAGGGUGUCUCUUUGGCCUUAGUGUUCCUGGUGCUAGCAAAAUGCUUGCCUCUGGGUCAGGGCCCAGUCAAUGUCCCACAAACUAAGAGCCUCAAUAUUUGUGCAAGAGCUAGUGAAAGAUAAUGACAGAAAGUGAUGGAAUGAGUUUUAAGCAUGUUCAGUCCAACAGUCACACUGACCGUUGUUUCUGAAAGCAAGCGAACCUCCUGAAGCUGAGCGACACUGAUUUUCUCCCCUGUGAAACUACAAGACUUCAUAAACGCGAAAGCGUCAGACGCCCGAGGGCUGCAGGAGCAAAAGUCAGCCAGCAGGGGGAGCUCUACCUUUGCACCUUGGCUCAGCCCCAAGGAGGGCAUCCCCAGUCCCUCUAAUAAAAAAUAAAAUAAAAUAAAAUAAAAUAAAAUAAAAGCAAACAACUCCUGUUAUACUGCAAGAUGCAGCGAAUCUUUUUAGAAACAAGAUGAGAUAAUAGGUAAAGAAUACACAAAAAAUUCCCAAGCUGAACGAAAUCCUUCUAUUUGUGCAGCAGUCAUAGACACAGCCUAGCGAGUCCACAGCUGACUGCUCCAGCAGAUAACGGCUCUCCCUUCCAGGAAGUAUCCCAGCUCAGAGACUCACCCAGUGUAGAAAAGGAAGUCAUUCCAGGGAUACAGAAAGAGCAGCAGAGGCUCCGAGAUAGAUAGAAGGUGUCUGGGGGGAAAGAGAGAGACUAGGAUGAUUGGAAAGGAGGAUUCUUCUCCCUGAUCCAUUCCUCGAGCUGUGAAGACAGACUGGGAGACAGUACUCAAGGCAGGGCCUGAGGACAGUCACCCUAGUUGUGAGGUCAUCUACCCUUGCAUACUCAGUGUUCCACUGGCAAUAGAUUUCUGCCCACCCUUCAAAAAUUAAGAAGAAGCAAAACUGGCACUGCUCCAAUCCCACCAUCCCAUCGGUAGGAGAGGCCUUCUGGCUGGGUCCCUAAGGAUGUCUCUGGGCUUGUACUGUUCCAUUUCCACACUCUCUCAAAGUUCCUCUAGUGAGCCUAGCGGUCACCAUCAGGCAUGAUGAGGAUGUAGGACAACUUCAAAGGGUGCAGCUGGCAAUCAGCCCACAGGGAGCAAGAGUAGACCUUCAUUAGCCACAUGUUCUGUCACCUGCACUGGCAACUUGACAGAGAAUUGAAAUCUUAGCAUCAUUAUAUGGCGCCUUUCUCUAAAGCACUUCCUCGAGCUUUCUACUACCCAUACUCCAAAACUGGUCCACUUCCUAUAUUGUCAAUCUGCUUGAGUUAGUGUCAUCAUUCACAAAGUCAUGGAAAAAGUCACUUUCUAGUUAUUUUUUCACUGUUUUGCUACUGUCCACAGUCACCCAGUCAAGAAAUCCUGAUCAUUCUGCCUCUUAAAUAAUGUGUCUUCUCUCCUUCAUGGUAUCUAGUCAGGACUCAUCUGGAGGACUACCAACCUCUGUCUUCUCUAGUUCCAUCCUCAACGCUGAUUCCAGAUCAUCUAAAAUUCAUGUCUGAUCAUGUAGUUGCCCUGCUCAAAAGCCAUUGUCAGUUCCCCAGUGCCUGCAGAGCAUAAGGCUGCAUUGCGUUCAGGAAUGGCAUAGGGUACAAAUAAAUAAAUGAGUGAAUUAAUAAAAACACACAGAUAGAAAAGAGGAAUUGAGAAUAAGAGAGUUUUUUUUAAAAAAAUUCCAGUCAUUUGAGAGAUCACCAUUGUGAUCCUGUAAGCCUUACCAUGCCCUCGAGUUGAAUUCUAAUCAACACAAGGGAAUAAAAAUUAUAUUCAUACAUUUUAUUCCACUAUUUACUUAGAAAACUUCAUGCCACCCCAGCCAGUUAUCCGUCUCAUUUCCCUUAUAGGUUCAAAAGCACUUUGUACUGCUUCCCUAAGAUUUGCACUAAUGAGAAAUGAGGUGCCACAUGGUCAGUCUCAUGCGGCAUACCAGAUUGUCCCCAGAGGUUCUUUCUGUAGUUAGCCGGGUGAACACGUUUAACACAUUUUCUUUUAGCCAGAAGUGGGGAAAUGUUUCCUCUCCGUAUACAUGACCUUGCCAUGUACUCACCUUAGAAAAAUAUCUUUUUCUGAAUGCACACAAUGUUUGGCUUCUUAUAAAACCGCAGCUCCUGCAAUUUCAUCCUUAAUAUCUGCAGCUUGAGGGUGGUAGGUCCUUGCCGUUGCACUUGACAGGAGCUGACAAGUAGACACUUGUGGAGUCCCUGAUGCUGUGACUGGCCUGUUUCGGGGAUGAGGCAAGGAGGAGCUCGUUUUGUAUUUAUGCACCCAGGCAACCUUUGUGUUUACUGUCUCUUUGGUCAGCUUCCAAACUAGCAGCACCGCACCCGUUAACACAGGCUCCACGGCCAGUUGCAGAUGGGCUGGCCUGCCAGCUGUGAGGAAUUGUUACUUUUAGCUUGAGCAAUUGGUGGUUUCAUGUGAGGAGCAGCUUUACAAUCACACAUCAGUUUCGCCUGACAAAAAUCCUUAAUGCUCACUGAGGUGGUGAAACCAAAAGGUGUGGCACGUACUACUGAUCAUACUGUCUGCUUUGAUCUUGAGAGAUGGCUGAAUAUUAUUUACUCAAUCCAUUUAAAUUUGUUGAGAUCCUGUGUGUUUGUCAUUGACCAACGCUUCAGGAACCCAAAGAUAAGGUAUGGUGAGCCACACAGGUGAUAGAUUUGUGAGCAGGUGAAUGAAAUACAGAGCUAGAAAUCCUGAUCAUUCUACCUCUUAAAUAAUGUGUGCAGAAAGAAAGCCAGCAGGCAGGAACAAAGUGCUCGGGGGAGACAGAGGAGGUGGAGUACAAUUGGGGAAGUUUUGUGGAUGUUUGGUAUUUGAGCUGUGUGUAAAAGGCAAGGAGGAACAUUUUAGGAAGAGCCCGUGCCAGAUACUGUUCUUGAUGCUUGAGCCCGUGCCAGAUACUGUUCUUGACUCAUUGAAUCCUCACAACAUCCCUGUGAGAAGUAAACUAUUAUGACACCCAUUUUACAGAUGAGGAAGCAGAGGCUUGUGGCAGUUAAGUCACUUCCCUAAGGUUACAUAGCUAGUAAGUGAAGAGGCUGGGUCUUGAGAUAUUUCCAGGUAUGUCAUAAACGCUCAGUAAAUGCUGUGAUGAAAAUGAUAAUCAUUGAAUCCAGGGGCAGCAGCCUCUAAAGCCCAUGCCCUCAACUACUGUGUCAUCAUGACUCCAACAGCAUGUCAGAGAAACCUAUGUGUGGGCCUUACCUGGGAUCACUAGAGGCGUGAGUCCUUUUGCAGGGCACUCUUACAGUCCUGAGUUAAAAUCGGGAGUCUUGUCUAAAUCAUGCAGCAGGCAGAGUUGGUCUUUGGCUCUCACUGGUCCCAGGAGUGACCCUGUCUCCCUCUUCUGCAUUCCUUUUCUUUCAGGCUGCUUCUCCUGCUCUUUCCUCGCUUUUAAAAAAAUCUAUUUCUUAGUAAAAAAUCAGACAUUUUAAGUCAGAAUCUUAGAACUUGAAAUAUGAAAAAAACAUGGAAAUCAUUUAGUUCAGCUCCUUGAUUUUGUAGAUGCAAAAACUGUAGCUAAGUUGAUCAAGAUGCUUUUUCUUGCAAGUGACAGAACCCAAUUUAAAUUAUCUCAAGUGAAAAAGGGAGAUACAUUAGCUUUGGGGGGUGAAAGCAGCAUCCAGGAUUCAGGAAAAUGUCACUAGUUUAUUUGCACUUUCUCUUUAAUCUCAAAUCUUUUAUCUCUGCUUCAGAAUAUGAUGGCCUCAAUUGUUCCUGGUGUACUUGAAAUUAAUUUCUUUCUUUUGUUUUCUUUUUCUUUUUUUUUAUGACACAGGGUCUUUCGCUGUCACCCAGGCUGGAGUGCAGUGGUGCGAUCUUGGCUCACUGCAACCUCCGCCUCCCGGAUUCCAGUGAUUCUCCCACCUCAGCCUCCUGAGUAGCUGGAACUGCUGGUCUGCGCCACUACGCCUGGCUAAUUUUUGUAUUUUUAAUAGAGAUGAGGUUUCACCAUGUUGGCCAGCCUGGUCUUGAAUUCCUAAUCUCAAGUGAUCCACUUACUCCAGCCUCCCAAAGUGCUGGGAUUACAGGUAAAUUUCUAACCAGACCUGCUGCCAGAUGAACAAGUCCCCUGGGAAGGAAUCCCUUCUUCAGUCUUCAAGUCAAACUGCUUCUGUGCUAACCAAAGGCUAAGCCUGCCAGGGAGGGGGCAGUGCCACCUGCUUCCAAAGGCGCUGUGACAGCUCUUGUUUAUUGAAGAGGGCUGCCCAUCCCAGUGAAGUAAGAUAACCAGGAAUUUUAUUUCUGAGAGAGAGUAUCCUGGGCCUCCACAUCAAGGAGCAGGAAAGCUCAGCCUUGGCUUCUUGAGCUAUAUCCCAGGGAGCUGUAUCAGCAAAUGGACAGGUGGAACUCUGAUGCCUUCACCAAGAUGGUUGAACAAGAGAACAAGAUAGAGUUCUCAUCAGCUGAACAAAAGAAAUCAUGACAGAGACUAGAAGAUGUAAAGGCCUAGUUUCGGAGACAGAGACAAGUAAUUUCCCUGAAAUGUUAUUUGUGCCAUGUGGGUCACAGCUGAACUGCUGAGGGAAGCAUUUUCAGAACAUCACAGAGGGAAGAGUCAUGGGUCUAAACCUUUUAAAGACUACAUUUUUUAAAGGUCAACUGCUUUUUCCCUGGAGGGGAUCCUUGUAAUAGGUACUAUAGAGAAGGAUAAUUAAUAAUCAUGAUGUUGAGAAAGUGGCCUGAAAAAGAAAAAAAAAAAACUUGGAACCAGCUUCUCAUCGAAGAUGUGCCUCUCUCCCUCCCUGCAUUGCUGUGAUCUAGGGUUGCAGUGAUGCCCAGUUUUCCAGACCCUAGCUCUCACAGUCCGGACCAACUUGCAGCUGCAUUUCAGUAUCAAUCCAAUUUACAGAGCUGGAAUUACGUUGUAGCGGGGCCCACUAACAUGAACAUACAUUGUAAAUUCUUUUUCCUCCUAUUUGUAUUUUCAAUAUUCUUUGUUAAUUGUGAUAAUCCCUUAUGACAAAUGUGUGAUGUAUUUGCGUACCUCAGAUUGAGCAUAUGUCUGGUAUGAAACAAGUUGCCCCACAAAAAAUUGGGGAGAGGCCGGGCAUGGUGGCUCAUGCUUGUAAUCCCAGCACUUUGGGAGGCUGAGGCAGGUGGAUCACUGAGUCCGGGAGACCAGCCUGGGCAACGUGGCAAGACCCCAUCUCUACAAAAAAAUGCAAUACUUAGCUGGGCAUGGUUAGGCACACCUGUGAUCCCAGAUACUCAGGAGGCUGAGGUGGGAGGAUCAUUUGAGCCCAGGAGGUCAAGUUUGCAGUGAGCUGUGAUUGUGCCACUGCAUUCCAGCCUGGCAACAGAAUGAAACCCUGUCUCAAAACAACACAACCACACACACACACACACACACACAAAAUUGGGGUAAGAACAAAAAAUUGGGGGAAGAAAUUGGACAUAUGAGUUUUGAAGGCAUAACAUCUGCCUUCUCAUUGCUGAGACAAGUCAUCUAUUUUUAACUUCCAUUUUCACGUUAAGGAUUUCUCCCAGGCUAUCCUUCAAUCUCUACCAUCUCUGAAUUCCAAAGUUUUCUGUCCUUGCUCCUUGGGGUGUUCCGCAGCCUCCUGUCAGACUCUCCAAGGCUCCUUGUCUGCUGGGACUGUGCAUGCCCCACCGAGGCCACAUCCUACCAAUAUUGCAGCUUGGCUCCAGAAUGGAUUAGAUAAUUUUUGCUAAGCUCCUGCAGCUAGGUGUGUUUUUGUGAGGCUCACCCUAUUCUCAGAGUUGUGAAUCAUGACAGCUGACCCUUACUGAGCACGCAUAUAUGCUAGGCACGUGCUAUGCUUUUUAUGUGCAUCAUCUUGGUUAAUCCUAAUAAGAAGCUCAUCCUUCUCAUCAGCUCUGCUUUACAGAUGGGACACUAAGGAACAGAGAGGUUAAAUGACAUGCACACAGUUACAAAUCUAGUGGUAGUGCUGGAAUUUGAACCCAGUCAACCUGACUCCAGAAUCUGUGUUCUUGAUCAUGAUGCUAUUGAUGGGUUCCAGCUUUUAGCCCAUUUCCUGCAGGGUCCUUUGAGUUGCAGUUAAUUGGGUCAGGUGCAGCUGUACCAUGAGAUAAGAUAGGUGUUCAAUAAAUUCCACCCUAGAAUCAUUUGUUGAACAUUUACUGGGUACAAGACACUGUGCUCACUUGUAAACCUGGGGUGUGGGUUUUGGUGUGGAGAUGAAACAUGCUAUUUAGUCACUGAAAUGAUCAAGAAGGAAAUCCUUUUGUUUGUAAGAAUAGUAGAUCUGACCUGAGACAAAAUUGUGAUCUUUCUGUGUCUCAUUGUCUGGCCUUUCUCAAACCCUGACCCUGUCCUUUCUUCAACUUAGGAAGCCUCUUCUGCUUUUCCACCCAGGAUCUUCUCUCCAUGUUUCUGAACCCAGCGCUGCACUCAGAAACAGGGCAGGUGCCUCUCCGUGCAUCUGAAGGCUUUACCUUCAGACCGUCCAGGUGUGCAUACUUCAAUGUUUAUUUAGUUGCCUGCCUCUGGGGAGCAUCCCAGCCUCACUGAGCUUAUACCUUGGGACACCUUGGAAGGUGAAGGCAGCCGAGUCCUUAUCGUAGAGUAAAAUAAGACAAGAACUCUAAAGUGAGGAAAGGCCCCAAACUAAGCAACAAAAGGUGUUGUUUUCUUGAAAAUGAUGACGGAAAUAUUACAAAUAUUGAUUGGUUGCAGAGGUAAUACAUUUGUCAAAGCUCAUCAAAUUGUGCUAAGGAAUACCUUUGCAUUUGUCUGUGUAUAAAUUUUACCUAAAUAAAAGCUUUUUUUUCCUAAGAAAUAAAAAUGCCAUAGUGCUAAAAGGACACUAGUAAGCAGAGAGCCGUUUCCAAGUACAUCAUCUAAGAGCCAUUUGUUCAACAAAUAUUUAUUGAGCACCUGAUAAGUACCAGGGACUGUCCUAGAAUCCAUCAGCAAUGAGACAAAGGUCCCUGUCUCCAUGGAGCUUACAUGCUAGCAGGGCCCUUGAAAGUGGCAGGCAGAGGCGGGCGCUUUGGCUGAUUGUUUGCCCUGAUUGCUGAUCUCAAGAGGAGCAACUGGAAGCUCUAGUCUCAGAGGGGCUCAGUGAUUCAUGGAAAAGGGAGUUUCCUGAAUGUCAGGUCUAGGGUUAGGCUGCAGCCCAUGCUGAGGUCUGAAGGGAGUGGGUGGAUGAAUGGCAGAUAGCUGAAAGAACACUUAAGGAGCUGUAGGUAGGUGAGAUACAGCUUUAUUCAGCAGCUCUCUCAUCAGCAGCUCUCUUACACGGUCUGCUCUGUCUCAGCUGCUUGAUCUGGCUGCUCCCAUGCACAGCUGCGCUGCUGGCUUUCCCUUCAGGGUCAGCAGCUUAACUCUUUCUCUGUCUGGGCAUGAGCGGGCCUAUACAGUGUCAGCAGGGCAAUUAUACCUUUUACAGACAAUAGUGGCUUAGAGCCAAAUGAUGAGCCUUCCCAUGCUAUGGCUACAUGGAUGUGAUGACAAGUGGAGUAAUACACCUAUGCUCUAAACUUGCUGAAUCACUCUCGGUGUUUACCUGGGGCUAUCGCUGACCGAAGCAUAGCCAUGUUCCUUACACUGAAAAAGCCUCUGAAUGCCUAGGGGAAAAAAGUCCUUACAUGCUUGGGGGCUAGAGCCGCACUUUCCGGUGAGGCCCAGAAGAGUCUGCAAAUCUUCCAGCCCCAUCCCCAGUGUCUCUUUGUGGCUUGAGAGGGUGGCUCACCCACCGCCUUACCAUAUGAUCCAUGCCCUCUCCCCCCUAGCAAGGCACCUCCACCAGGGGCCCGGCUUCCUUCAGGCACAUGUGCCCACAGGGCAUGGGCUCUGGCAGAGGCCAGCAAACCUGGAGGCUGGAAGCUCAUUUUCUGAGCUCCAGGAAGGGCGGGGAGGUGUGGGUUCUUUUUGAAACCAGACCUAUGUGCUUAGAAACACCACAGAAGGGCUGGGCAGAGCCACUGGGGGUUGGAUGGGGUUGCUGUGAAUCAUAGGAACUCUAGGCUAGAAGAAGCCAUCUGAGAGGGGAGGUAGGUUCUUUUGAAGUCUCAAAAUCUUUAUUUAAAACAGAAUCCAAGAACCUUUGAUCAUGCAGCAAAGUUUAUGACAUUAUAUACGUAAUAAAGGACAAUGAAGCAACAUAUAAUCCUUGUUAAUUAAAAUGGUCUAAAUUACAUGUAAUCUCUGAAUUUACAAAGAUAGCACAAUGUAUGCAAUAAAUCCUAUUUCACAGUCUUUUUUUAGUAACAACAAG
rnacentral:lncRNA from 1 species